rnacentral:lncRNA from 1 species
UGAAACAAGACAGACAAUAAGCAAAUGGCUGUGUGGAUGUUUACCUGUUGUCUGAAGUCAAAACACCAUAGCUACACACCUGAUAAAGAUUGAUAGACUGAGAAGAAGGAAGGAAUAAAAGAUCUGUCUUGUGAAACUGAAGAGAGAAGCCACUCCUGUAGACUCACUGCUACCAAAGCUUUGCCACAAAAAUCCAAUACAUCCUUCAAGCUGUGAUAUCAUAUACCAGAGAGAGAAGUAGGAACAUCAACUACGAAGCCUUUUUCAACUGCCGUGGCUUCAUUCUUCAUCUGUUCAUCUACAAGAUGAUAUAA